rnacentral:rRNA from 1 species
AGCGACAGAAGAAAGCACCGGCUAACUCCGUGCCAGCAGCCGCGGUAAUACGGAGGGUGCGAGCGUUAAUCGGAAUUACUGGGCGUAAAGCGCAUGCAGGUGGUUUGUUAAGUCAGAUGUGAAAGACCCGGGGCGUCAACCUCGGAAUAGCAUUUGUAAACUAGGCAGACUAGAGUACUGUAGAGGGGGGUAGGAAUUUCAGGUGUAGCGGUGAAAUGCGUAGAGAUCUGAAGGAAUACCGGUGGCGAAGGCGGCCCCCUCGGACAGAUACUGACACUCAGAUGCGAAAGCGUGGGGAGCAAACAGGAUUAGAUACCCUGGUAG